rnacentral:rRNA from 1 species
AUACGGAGGGUGCAAGCGUUACUCGGAAUCACUGGGCGUAAAGGACGCGUAGGCGGGUUGGAAAGUCUGAUGUGAAAUCCUACAGCUUAACUGUAGAACUGCAUUGGAAACUUCCAACCUCGAGUAUGGGAGGGGGAGAUGGAAUUAGUGGUGUAAGGGUAAAAUCCGUAGAUAUCACUAGGAAUACCUAAAGCGAAGGCGAUCUCCUGGAACAUUACUGACGCUAAGGCGUGAAAGCGUGGGGAGCAAACGGGAUUAGAUACCCUAGUAGUCC